rnacentral:rRNA from 1 species
AUUGAACGCUGGCGGCAUGCCUUACACAUGCAAGUCGAACGGUAACGGGCCUUCGGGUGCCGACGAGUGGCGCACGGGUGAGUAAUACAUCGGAACGUGCCCGAUCGUGGGGAAUAACGAGGCGAAAGCUUUGCUAAUACCGCAUACGAUCUACGGAUGAAAGCAGGGGACCGCAAGGCCUUGCGCGGACGGAGCGGCCGAUGGCAGAUUAGGUAGUUGGUGGGAUAAAAGCUUACCAAGCCGACGAUCUGUAGCUGGUCUGAGAGGAUGAUCAGCCACACUGGGACUGAGACACGGCCCAGACUCCUACGGGAGGCAGCAGUGGGGAAUGUUGGACAAUGGGCGCAAGCCUGAUCCAGCCAUGCCGCGUGCAGGAUGAAGGCCUUCGGGUUGUAAACUGCUUUUGUACGGAACGAAAAGCCUUCUUUUAAUACAGGAGGGUCAUGACGGUACCGUAAGAAUAAGCACCGGCUAACUACGUG